GCUUACGGCCAUACCUCUCUGGCUCCGCCUGAUCUCGUCUGAUCUCAGAAGCUAAGCAGAGUAGGGCCUGGUUAGUACUGGAUGGAAGACCGCCUGGGAAUCCCAGGUGCCGUAAGCU
ensembl:rRNA 5S_rRNA 5S ribosomal RNA